UAUAAUUUUUUUUUGGUUUUAUUUUUGACAUAUGUCAGAACCUCCCCUCCUUUUAAAUUACCCCCAACAUAUGUUAAUAAUAGGUACAUCACCAAGCGCGCCAGGAGCAAAAUUUAGAGGCAAUAUUAAUUAGAAUUUAUAUUUUUAUAUAUUUUCGUGUAUCUUUUGGUGUAUAAUAACAUGUAUUUUUUUUCUGAAUAUGGCUAAAUAAUAGUGGUUUAAAGAAUUUUUCAUUGAAAAAAGUAUUUGUUCGCAAGUUUUAUUAGUGUGUUUUUUUACUUAUUAAUUGUUAGUUGUUUGUUAGUGGGAUAUAUAGGACGGUUUAGUUUUGAGUAAGAUUGGUUAGAAUGGGGAAAAGUGGAGAAUGGACUAAUAAAAUCUACAAAUAAAAAAGAAACAAAGAUUUAACAUAUAAUAAAAAAACUAUUAUCAAAACAAAAACUGAUAAAAAAUAAGAAAUUGUUAAAUUUGAUUAAAAAAAAAUAAAACUGUUUAAAAAAAUUAAUAAAAAAAAAGAAACAAAAGUAAAAAAAACACAAAACUGGAGGAAAAAAAAAGGGGUGAACUGCUGGGGUAGGGGAAAAUAGAUGGGGGGUAUAAUAGUAAUUGUAGAGAGUGGGGCCGUGGGUGGGUGUGUGCGCGCGUCAGGGUGAGGGUGGGGGAAAGCAGCUCUCCCCACCAAAAAGAUUACGUGUGCAAAACGAACACGAAACCCCCGACAAACUAGUUUCAUACCGAAUUCCUUUAGGUCAUGACUUGACCCUAACCUAAACAGACUUUGCAAGCACAUGAAGAAGCUCACACUUCUAAGGAGAGAAAUGAGUUCAUAAGCGUUCGAUUGGGCUCGAAUUUCAGAAAACCAAAUGUUCUAAACUCUGGAUUUAUUAGAGGUUUGUAUGGUUAUUAAUUUUAUAUUUUUAAACUUAAUUGAGGUACACGAAAUUUGUUUCGAAUACCUGAUUAUAAAAAACCCGAAACCUUACGGGUCAGUGUAUUUCAUCCUAAUAUUUUUAUCUUUAUUUUGAAAAAAAUCUAAAGUAAUUAUUUUCUCACUUAAUCUAUUUUCAAAAUUCUUUUAAAGUUUAAUAAUUAUACUACUAACACAUAUAUUUGUAUACUCAUCUAUAUAAAUUUUUCUCACGUGAAGUGUGUAGGUCUCAUAAAUCCCACAGCUCAUGUGAAUUAUGUAACAAAUUUUGAUUUUAAUUUUUUUUUUUAAAUAUUUAAUUUUGGUCUAAUUUCAAAGGCCUCAUUGAUAUCUUUUUAGUCCAAGUACAAAUUUUGUAAAAAAUUAAAUUUAUAAUUCGGAAGUUAUAUAGUUAUAGAAAAAACUAAUUGUCAAAAAAAAAGUAAAAAAUAAUAGGGAGUUUCUAUUUUUGAUGGGCUUACAUAUUUGACACUCAUCAUGAGGUUUUCAAUAAUAAAAUUUAAAAAUUUAAAAUCUAGUUUUCAAUCGCUUAACUCGAUUAAACUAACACCGGGUGAGAGAUGUUAGAAAAUACAACAAUAUGGCUUAUGCGUUGGCCAAAUUAAAUUUAGAAGCAAAACAUCAUAACAAGAUAUAUUUCAUAAAUAAUUACGAAUUACAAUACCAAAAUCAACCCAUGGUGUAAACAUCCUUAGGGUUAGAUUCCUAAUUUGUACUAAUUUGAUACGUAAACCAAAAGGGCUUGAAUAUGGAGUAAUCAUUGCCCCGAUACUUGGGUUUUCUGAAGUGAAGCGCUCAUCAUGAACAUGCAGGUCACACAAACAACAUGUGUCCGAGUUAAUGCUGUCGUCCAAACAGGGACCGCAUUUUAAUAUUAUUGGGGAUAUUAGUCCCAAAUUAAUUUUAAUUGAAUACGGCUUUGGGCUUUUGUUUGAAUUUGUGGAUUUAAAAUGAAUGGAUUUAUCAGAAAUUAUAUACUCUUUUUGUUAUAAUUUGUUUAUUCACUUUAUCUCUUUUUAAAUAUUUAAAAAUAUUUGUUCUUUUUAAAAAAAUCAACUACUAAAAAAAAUUGUAUUCAUACCUUCUCUUUUAUUUUUCAGUGUUAGUUAUCCAGUUACAAAAGCGACUCCAUAAGCUUUUGUUUUCACGUCUCUCUAAAAUUGCAGUUAUUACGUUAAUGGUCCGAGUAUACUAUUUGUAAUUAUUCUACCAUAAACGAUAAAUAAUAAAUAAAAAGAAAAAGUAAGGCCAUUUCAUUUCGACAAAAGACUCACGCCCAAGUUUCAUAGCAUUUUGCCCGUGUAAAAUUUUUGGUUUAUUUAGUCAUCAGAGACUCCCAAGCACAUAGAAACUACUCCAUAUGUCACGACCCAACCCAUUUAUACAUGUGGGUCCACCUUUAUUAGAGGUGUCGUCGUGACCGGCCAGUGAGGACACUCACUAAGGCCUACUAUUCAACUAGUUUAGGAUUUUCCUGUCAUAUGAAAUAUUGAAUUCUAAUACUAAUAUAUGCGGAAGCAUAUUUAAAAUAAAAUCAACCUAAGUGUCCUAAAUAAGAUAUAAAACAUUUGU
rnacentral:lncRNA from 1 species